rnacentral:rRNA from 1 species
CGAACGGUGAAGCCUUCGGGUGGAUCAGUGGCGAACGGGUGAGUAACACGUGAGCAACCUGCCCCUGACUCUGGGAUAACUCCGGGAAACCGGGGCUAAUACCGGAUAUGACCGCGUAUCGCAUGGUGUGCGGUGGAAAGUUUUUCGGUUGGGGAUGGGCUCGCGGCCUAUCAGCUUGUUGGUGGGGUGAUGGCCUACCAAGGCGACGACGGGUAGCCGGCCUGAGAGGGUGACCGGCCACACUGGGACUGAGACACGGCCCAGACUCCUACGGGAGGCAGCAGUGGGGAAUAUUGCGCAAUGGGCGGAAGCCUGACGCAGCGACGCCGCGUGAGGGAUGAAUGCCUUCGGGUUGUAAACCUCUUUCAGCAGGGAAGAAGCGAAAGUGACGGUACCUGCAGAAGAAGCACCGGCUAACUACGUGCCAGCAGCCGCGGUAAUACGUAGGGUGCAAGCGUUGUCCGGAAUUAUUGGGCGUAAAGAGCUCGUAGGCGGUUUGUCGCGUCUGCUGUGAAAACUCAGGGCUUAACCCUGAGCUUGCAGUGGGUACGGGCAGACUAGAGUGCAGUAGGGGAGACUGGAAUUCCUGGUGUAGCGGUGAAAUGCGCAGAUAUCAGGAGGAACACCGGUGGCGAAGGCGGGUCUCUGGGCUGUAACUGACGCUGAGGAGCGAAAGCGUGGGGAGCGAACAGGAUUAGAUACCCUGGUAGUCCACGCCGUAAACGUUGGGCGCUAGGUGUGGGUCUCAUUCCACGAGGUCUGUGCCGCAGCUAACGCAUUAAGCGCCCCGCCUGGGGAGUACGGCCGCAAGGCUAAAACUCAAAGGAAUUGACGGGGCCCCGCACAAGCGGCGGAGCAUGCGGAUUAAUUCGAUGCAACGCGAAGAACCUUACCAAGGCUUGACAUUCAGGGUAAACCAUCAGAAAUGGUGGGUCCGCAAGGGAUCUUGAACAGGUGGUGCAUGGUUGUCGUCAGCUCGUGUCGUGAGAUGUUGGGUUAAGUCCCGCAACGAGCGCAACCCUCGUUCUAUGUUGCCAGCGCGUGAUGGCGGGGACUCAUAGGAGACUGCCGGGGUCAACUCGGAGGAAGGUGGGGAUGACGUCAAAUCAUCAUGCCCCUUAUGUCUUGGGCUUCACGCAUGCUACAAUGGCCAGUACAAAGGGCUGCGAGACCGCGAGGUGGAGCGAAUCCCAAAAAGCUGGUCUCAGUUCGGAUCGGGGUCUGCAACUCGACCCCGUGAAGUUGGAGUCGCUAGUAAUCGCAGAUCAGCAACGCUGCGGUGAAUACGUUCCCGGGGCUUGUACACACCGCCCGUCACGUCACGAAAGUCGGUAACACCCGAAGCCGAUGGCCCAACCGCUUGCGGAGG